AGCAGUGGGGAAUUUUGGACAAUGGGCGCAAGCCUGAUCCAGCAAUGCCGCGUGAGUGAAGAAGGCCUUCGGGUUGUAAAGCUCUUUUGUCAGGGAAGAAACGGUGAGGGCUAAUAUCUCUUGCUAAUGACGGUACCUGAAGAAUAAGCACCGGCUAACUACGUGCCAGCAGCCGCGGUAAUACGUAGGGUGCAAGCGUUAAUCGGAAUUACUGGGCGUAAAGCGUGCGCAGGCGGUUUUGUAAGUUUGUCGUGAAAGCCCCGGGCUCAACCUGGGAAUUGCGAUGAGGACUGCAAGGCUUGAAUCUGGCAGAGGGGGGUAGAAUUCCACGUGUAGCAGUGAAAUGCGUAGAGAUGUGGAGGAACACCGAUGGCGAAGGCAGCCCCCUGGGUCAAGAUUGACGCUCAUG
rnacentral:rRNA from 1 species